rnacentral:lncRNA from 1 species
AGAAAGCCUUCUCUAGCGAUCCGAGAGAAAUACUAGGCUUUAGAAUUUCACCUUAUGAAUUUUGGGAGAGAGGAGCACAGUUCAGCCCAUAACUAACACACGACGGAAUGAAGUUGAUAAUAGUGAGACCUUGUUGGUACAAGACUCUGUAACAUAACCUGCGCUUCUCAACAAAGAAUUGCUUUUCUGACUUCUGCACUCAAUAGCAAGACAAAUCUCUCCUCUGUCUUUUUCUUAUCAGACUACUCAACAUGAAGGCAAUAAGAAUGAAGACCUUUAUGUAUAAUAAUUGACUUCCACUUAAUAAAUAAGGUUACUUGGUACACUGGUCGACAAAACCUUGAAAUGUUGAUGUUUAAGGGCUGUUGAUUGCUGGCAACAAAGAAGUCCAACUGUGCUGGUACCCGAGAUAGCGUCUCCACAUUUUCUUCCAGGAUCAUCACCUUUGUUGUAAAUAGCUCCCACAUAGUGUGAACAGAAGUCAUAUGUUUUAGAUUUUCUGCCUUGGCACCCAGGAAACCAGUAUGAUUGAGUAAACAUAUUAAAUUUCCUCUGCAUUUCCAGCCUGAACAGAUGUUGAGUACAAGCUGAUCCACCUACGUUCAACCUGAGAGAGUCCACAUCCACAGACUGGUUCAUUUCCCUUUUUCAAUUUACAUAGAAGCAUAGAUUCUUGCUGGCAUAUACAAAUGCGCCAUUUAAGGCAAUCAAAAAUGGUUCCACAUCUCAUCUGAUUUCCACAAUUGUUGCUGUAACGAUGGACUACUGAGGAGAGAAACAAUUUCUCUGGCAGAUCUUCCCACGUUUUAGCAACAUGUUCAUGGAGAGCCAAUAUUCAGUAAUUACAGCACAAUUCCUCACAAUUUCACAAUUCGCUAACAAUAUGCAUUUUCACAAUGUAAAGCUGAUUUUCCUUUAACCAAAUCAAACAUGAAAAGAUAGCUGCAAGCAAUGGGCAAUCUAGAUCAUUAGAAGAUUGAUGUAAAAUUCGAGGACAUUGAGACUGGAAUAGAUUGCAAACUUCAGGGAGCUCAGAAAACUUGUAAACUCUACAUUUUGAGGAAAUAUGUUGUCGAUGCUUUUGCAGCUCUAUGCAGUAACUUAACAAAUAAAGCCUUAAAGUAACUUA